CUUCUUCUCUUUUUCUAAAAUUUGAAUUACGUGCGUCAUAUAAAUCUUUUAAUGUUGUCCCACAUUAAAAACUCUUUAACUUUUUUUUUCCUGCUUUAUCUCCCCAAAUCCCCCUGGCACAUAGUUGUAUAUCUUAGUUGCAAGUCCUUCUAGUCGUGCUAUGUGGGAUGCUGCCUCAAUGUGGCCUGAUGAGCGGUGCCAUGUCCGCACCCAGGAUCCGAACUGGCAAAACCCUAGGCCACUGCAGCGGAGCGCGCGAACUUAACCACUUGGCCAUGGGACCAGCCCCUAAUUUGGGGGGUUAUUUUUUUCCUCUCUGGUCUUCAGAAUGGGUAAUUUCUAUUGAUCUGUCUUCAAAUUGACUGACUCCUUGGUCGUCUUCAUUCUGUUAUUAAACCUAUCAAGCUAAUUUUUCAUUUCAGUUAUUAUAGUUUUUAAUUCUUGAAUUUUCAUUUGGUUCUUUUUUAUACUUUCAAUUUCUCUGCUAGUUUCCCCAUCUAUUAUUUCAUUAUGCCUAUAUUUUCCUUUAAGGCCUUGAGAAUAUUUAUAAGAGUUGCUUUCAAACCCUUGAGGCUAAUUCCAAUAUCUGGGUCAUCACUUUUUCUCUUUAAGAAUGAGUUUGGAGUGUGAGUCAGUUUCCUGUGUCUUCAUAUGUCUAGCACUUGGUUUUUAUGUGCUGGACUUUGUCAGUGAUACAUUGUAGAGACCCUGGAUUCCAUUAUGUUCCUCACAAGAGUGUUAAUUUUGUUCUAGCUGGAAAUUAACUUGGCUGGACUCAAACUCCAAACUGUCUGACUCGUAGAGGGCAGCACCUGAAAUUUCCACUCAGUUCUUUCAGCUUCCAGCUGAUGACUUCAGCAGGACCCCUGGGGCCUCCUCUGCAUGUGCAUAGUUCAGCGGAUAGCCAAGGAUUUGGACAGAGUUUAUACAUAGAUUUUAGGACUCAUUUUCUUUACAGCUCAUUUUUUCCUGGGAUUUCUCCCCUUGAUUUUCUAGCAAUUUGCAUAGAGUUCCACACUCUUGAUACCUCAAACCAGUAAGAUCACAGCUUUCUACACAUCUCCACUCCCACACAGAUUAGGUAAUGCCUCAGACCAAAGGUCACAAAAAUGCAAAUCUCAUACAGUGCAGCUCCUUUCUUCCUUCCUUCCUUCCUUUCUUUCUUUUUUUCUUUUGGUGAAGAUUAGCCCUGAGCUAAAAUCUGUUGCCAAUCUUCCUCUUUUUGCUGAGGAAGAUUGGCCCUGAGCUAACAUCUGUGCUUAUCUUCUUCUGUUUUGUAUAUGCCACAGCAUGGCUUGAAUAGUGGUGGGUAGGUCUGCACCUGGGAUCCGCAGCCUACAAACCUCAGGCUGCCAAAGCAGAGCGCAUAAACUUAAUGCUAUGCCACUGGGCCGGCCCCCAGCUUCUGUCUUUCGAAUGUUGACUUCGCUCACAUUUCUGCCUGCUGUUAGAUGCUUUCCAGUGCCUCCAAAUAAUUGGGUGUUUUUAGGUAUAUAUUUUGUUCAGAUUUUAUAAUCAUUAUCUGAGAGAAAGUUAUUCUGACCAAACUAGUCUGCUAUUACGCCCCUUAUAUUCCUUAAUCCUUUUAUUUCUCAGAGCACCUCCUUAAGGUCAGUAUAAUUAGCCCCCAUUUUUAAGCUGAGGAAACAGAGGCUUUGAAAAGUAAAGCCGUUAACCCAAGGUCACACAGCUAGUUCAUGACUAAGCCAAGAUUUGAAACCGGCUUGAUGACGUAACUCUAUCCUUGCUCUACUUCAUAACCAUACCCAAACAUCUUCAAGGUGGUUUGGAUUCCAGCCUAGAGCCCACUGGUAAAUAUUCGAGGAUGGAAAGGGGUGAGAUCCCUCAAAACCCCUAUUCAGAGUAGGGCAGUAGUUUUCAACCCACAUCAUCAGAAAUCAUUUGAGAAACUAUGAAAAAUAGAUGUACCAGGUCUACCAAAUUAGUAUCCUAGCGAUAGGGACGAGGAGUCUACAUUUUAUACUGUUUCUUCAUGAUUCUAAUGCCCAGUCAGGGUUAAAAACCCCUCUGAUGAAGGCAAAGUACCUCCCACCGGUAUUCCUCUGUCUGUUAUAGCUCAGGAUUCUCACUUUUCUAUCAUGCUUCACCUGGUUAGUGACACUGGCGCUGAGGUUAAGGCUGUGGGCUCUGGAGUCACUCCACAUAGAUUCACAUGCUGGCUCUGUCAUUUGUUAGCUGUGUGACCUUGGGCAGGUUGCCCCACCUCUCUGAGCCUCCUGUUUUCUCCUUUCUUAAAUGGAGAUAAUAAUCUAAUCGCACCAACCUCACAGGGCUGUCGGAAGAAUUUUAUGAGAUAGUGCAUGUGACACCUUUAACACAGUGCCUAACACCUGGUAAGCCCUCAAUAGAUAGUAGCUAUUAUUAUGAACACAUCCUCCAUCAGCUUUUCUGCUUUCACAAACUUUGUUAUAUCUCUUAUCUAAAUCCAGCUUCUAGAGUUAAACUAUACCUAUGUCUUCUCAGGUGUUUCAACACUCCCUUCUCCCAAAAGUUAACACAACCUCGAUCUUUGCGGCUGAUCCAGCCCCACCUGAGUCCCUCUGUCCUAGUGCAGGAAGCAUUUUAAGUUGAGCCCAAAGCCUGGAAGAACUUCCUAGAAGUGACUAAGAAGCCCUCAGCAUCAGGUUGUGCCCCUUCAUGCCUGAGUUGGACCUUUUAGGCCACACUUUCAGUAAAGCCUUGAGUGGCAACUUUGAAUACCAGAAUGGGGUGUGAAAAUUGCAAAACCAGACUUAAAUCGUUGAAACUAAUCACCUUUGUUCCUGAGAGUUAGGCGUGAGUCACAGUGUCCUUAGGGGAACCCGGGCCUGACCAAGAGGACCCAGGAAAGGCAAGCUCAUUUCUAGAGGCCAGCUGGGCAGCCUGGGGGAGAUGAGAGAAGCCACCCUGGAAGCUUGUCCCCUGUGUGGCAGACUACUCUUCAGGACUCUUCCCCAGGAAGCCUUUCCUAGGUGGCCCAUAGCACACCCCAAGGUGACUAGUGCUGGCACACUCCUGGGCUCUUCUCCAAGCCAGAGGAUUCACUCAGCCUCCAUCCUGUGUCAGGUCUGUAGGUCUCCAUGAAAACUGAGGACCAGAGGAGUUCUCAGAGCUGGGACAUGCUCCAUGUGUUGGGGACCCUCUCUGUGCCAGGUGCACAUCCUUUAUCUUACCUCAUCCACUGUAAUGUGUCUGUUUUCCUCACCACUGAAUCCCCAGUGCCUGGCAGAAUAGACUCUUGGUAAAUAUUUAAUCAUGAUAAUAGUAAAAUAGCUACCAUUUAUUGAGCGCUUAUUACGUGCCAGGCACUGUUCAAAGUGCUUUAUAUCUCUUAACUCAUGCAAUAUUUGCUGGAUGAAAAAUUUGAUGACAACCCUAUGAGGCUAGCCUCUUUAUUUCUGUUUUACAUAAGAGGAAACUGAAAAGCACAGAAGGGAAGGAAGGGGUCGAAGGGCAGACAGGUACUAAAUAAACAGCAGGGCCAGGCUUUGAAUCCAAGGAAAUACGGGGCCCCAGGAAGUGGAAGGGAAGGUCUGGGUUUGAGUGAAUGCGAUGGGGGUUCAAAGGGAGGAACAGAGCGGACUUUGAAGGAGGCAUUUCUGAGGGAGAAGGAACAAAGGCUAGUGACGGUUUGGUGCCGGCCGCUGCUGGCUGGCCGGCUCUUAGAGCAAGCGUUUCAGAUGCUGCAAGACAGCCCCAGGCCACUCCCCUAAGAAAUGCUGACAUCAUGUCCUCAAGGACCACACCCACUGCCCACAGGAAGAAGCAAAAUGAACCUUAAAUUUCACCAGGGCCACUGUGGGGUAUGCAGGGAGGAGGAGAUGGCAGCUUGCGCCAGUGACUAUAAGCUCCUGUUUCCAUGAGUGUCUCUGGUCACAUCCUCUCUGGGAGGCCUACAGCUGAGACAGGUUGGGGAUGGCAGGUGGCUCCCCAGCAAUGAGUCACAGGUGACACCCCCACCCAGGAGCCUGGGCCUACCUGGGCAGAUAGGAGCACAUUGCAAUCCCCGCCAGUGGUUCAGAGGACACCCACGUGCUUGGCCUUCUUCCUAGGGCAAGGCCGCUGGGGUUGGCUUGCUGACGGGGCUACAGAGCUGAUCUGGCCUCCUGGGCAAGCCAUUCGGUGGACCUGAUUUCUCAGAUGGGACAGGGGCCCCAUGAGGCAAGGCCUGGGGGCGGUGUGCAAGAAAAGGAAACCUUCGUGACCCCUCUGCCUCACUCAUCCCAUGGUGACUCAAAUGAUCAGGUCAGCCCUGCUCCCUGACAUCACCUGUUUUCUUCACGAUACAUGUCACUAUUGAAUUCACUUUGAGUCAUCUGAUCACUUGCUUGUCGUUAUCUCCCCUGUUGCCUGGAAGCUCUUGGUUGUUGCUUCUCACUUACGCCCAGAACAGAGCUGGUCACAGAACAGGCGUUGGAUAGGUGCGAAUGAGCCACGCCUGCAGUCUUCGAGCUCCAAACCCACCCCUCAAGCCCCCACCAACGGGGCCAGCAGGAAGUCCUAUCUUGUACCUGGGUCCCCUUCACCAAGUAUUUCAGUGCUACUCUGGGUUCUGAAGGGGGCUGUGAUUUUCUCUGAGGUUCGGGGCGGGAGGAGGUGCCUCAGAUGUGGCUGGUGCUGCUACUUGCAGGCUGGAGGCCUCCACCACUGUCUGUGGGUCUCGGGCACUGCCCCACUGCCGGCCUCCCUCCGGGGCCUGCCUACCUGGGAGGCUUUUUCUUGCCCCCUCUCUCUGGCCAGCCCCCUGCAGUGUUUCCUGUUGAGCUCCUUCAGAGAGGGGGGUCCCUUGGCAGAGCUGUUUGAGCCCCACAUGAGCCCCUUCUUGCCUUCCCACCCCAGCCUUCUCCAUCCCAGAGCAAAGGAGGACUAUGUGGGGAUGAAGAAGGGCCCACACAGCCUCAGACUGUUCCUCAAGCCCUUUUUCUCUCCAAUCCCCAGGCCCAGCCCGCUGUCAGGCCCUCUCUGCCUGGUGUCUUCCUCCUGCGAUUUUCUCUCAGGCGCCUUUCCUCCCUUCACCCAGCUUCUGUCUGCCCCCACUAAGCCUGUUGGGCUGGUUUGAACCUGUUGGAAUCCCAGGAUCAGACGCCUGGACAGUGUGUCAGUUCUUUUCCGAGAGGCCCAUGAGUCCCCUGCAAAUCAAGGGGUGUGGCUGGCCUUGUUCCAUGAGGUGUCAUGCCCACCCUCUCAUACCUAAUGCUCCAUAGCUAUUCGGGGACCAGUGUAUUUCUAGCCUGCUCUGGAGGACAACGUGGCCUGAUUGCUCAUCCCGGUUCAGCCACAACAUCCUUGCCCAGGAGUUUGGCCCAGCAGUUAAGAAGCUGGGGGAAGAGAGAACACAUUUUCUAAGUACCCACUAUGAGCCGAGCAUCCUGCUGGGCACUUAUAAAUUGAAGACCUCAGGAGCCCCUAACUCUUUAGUAAACUUUUAGCGAACACCUACUCUGUCUUUCGCUUUAUCAACCUUAUCUUUUUUACAAUAUUCUUGUGAACUGUUAUUUCCAUUUCAGAGUCGAGGAGACUGAGGGUCAGAGAGGUUAAGGGACUUUCCCAGGGUUAUACAGCUAGUAAAUAACUCCAAAGUCACUCUGCCACAUCCUAUCCCCAGUUGUGGCCUUAUAAGACACGUUCAAGGAAAACAAGGCAUGAACUACAAGACUCUACUCACCUAAACAAGGGGUGCAAACUCAAGUGCCUCCUGGACACAAAUAGAUCAUUUAAAUGAGUGAACCAGUCCAGGUGUAAAACAGUAGGGAUGAGUGGAGACUGUGGAUAAUUGGAGAAGUCACAUCCCAUCUAAAGCUGGUAGGUGCUACUCAGCUCUAACCAAAUGUUGCCAAGUGGAACUCUGGGUCAGUGUGACCAGAUCUUCCAAUUUUUCAGGAAAAGCUGGAAAUCUGAGACUUUUCUGUGAAGUUUACAAAUAGAGCACAUCCACAUGCAGAUUAUAUCAGGCUGACAAUUGGGCCCCCUGAACCAGAAGAUGCUCCAGGAUCUUUGGAAGGACUCCACGUCUGGGAACCAGCUGUUUUUGAGUUUUGCACUCUGUUUAGGCCCUCAGGAUAGGCCCCUAUCUGGGAAGGGGAGUUUGGGGGUGAGGAGACACAGGACAUACACGUCCAAAAGCAAAGGAAAAGCCACAUGGUUAUAUCACAGGGCCAGUUGAAGGUCUGGGCCCGUCAGUUGCCAACAACAGAAUCUAAUUCUAGGUAACUUACGCAGAAAGGAAUUUGUGCAAAGGAGUUCUAGAAGCUUAGAGAAUUGGCAAGAGAAAUAGGAUCAGAAAAUUGGUAGAAGACCAGGGGAACUGGAUGGCUGGAACCACAGCUAAGGAUUUUGCCACAAACAGCCUGCUGCCACCACUGGACACUGGAAGCCACAGGAAGCCUAGACCAUUUUCCCCCCUAGGUAGCCCUCGGCCUACCCAUCAAGAGGUUCCAUCCAAAUGAGACAGCGUGAAUGGAGAAACUGAGGCGCAGAGCAGGCCAAUGACUUGCUGAAGGCUGCAGAGAGAGCUUGCGGUCAAGCUAGACGUCGAACGCAGACCUCCUGACUCAGGUUUCCUAACUGAGCUACAAAGUGCUUCAGAACUCACGAGAAAGGAGGGAAAUGUGAGGCUGGCAGGCAAGCAGGCAUCUUGACAGAGGUGGAGAGAAGAAGGAGGAAUAUCUUAAGAUGGCUACAGCUGGGGUGGGCCAUGAGAGAGACAUGAAAACCAUCGUAUGAAAGCCAUAGCUUUGUUGUCGGAAAUGCGGAACCUCAGGCCUGGUCUGCAUUUUAACCAGAUCCCCAGAUGACGCCAGUGCACAGUUUGAGGAGUUUGAGAAGCAACGCUCUAUUCAGUGGGGAGAAAGCAGUGCAAAACCUUUUUUUAAAAAUCAUGGCUUCAGGAGGGAUAAUGUUCUAGCUCAUAAAUUAGGUGCUGGGUUCAUGGAUGAUGUUUAUUUUGUGAUUAAGCUUUAUAACCUAUUUCAGGGUUUUGAGCAAAAGUCAGCUCCUCAAUGAAGCUUUUUAUGGUCCCAUUAUUUAAAAUUAUACCCCCAUCACCCGCUCUGUCCUCCUUUCCUCCUUUCCUGCUUUAUAUUUUUCUGGAAUGCUUGUUACCAUCCGAGAGAUGAAAAACUGUCAGUUUUUAUUUGUAUAUUGUCUAUCUCUCUCUCCCUAUAAGGUGAGCUCUACAAAAGCAGCAAUUAGUUCUGGUUUAGUCCUUGCGCUAUCCCCAGCAUCUACAACAGGGCCUGGUACCCAGUAGGUCUUCAAUAAAUGCUUUUGGAAUGAAUGUGUUAUAUGGUACAUAUUAAAUAUUACAUAAUAAAAUGGCUUUUAAAGUUAAAAAACCAUACCCAACAAUUAUUGGGAGUUGCUAUGUGCCAAGUCCUGGGUUGAACACUUUAUGUGCCAUAAGAUCUCAUUAAAUCCUUACAGAUCCUCAACAUGCAGAUGACAAAACUGAGGUUAGGAGAGCACAUCACUUGCCCAAGGUCAUAGGUAGGACACAGCAGAAGCAUGAUUUGAACUUAGCAAAGACAAGAGACUGGGUAUCCUGAAGAGGGACCGGGGACAAUGCUGGGCUCCAGAAGCAGUGGAGCUGAGGUCCUGCAGGGAAAAACGCUCUCCCGAGGCAGGGCCGUGUUGUUUAAGAGCUGGGGCUGGCCAGGCGGGUCCGGUUUUUACCUGGGGACUCUGAAGCCACGCGGAGAAGGCAGCAGCCUGGGGCUUGUCCUGAUGUGCUCAGAUUACAACAAUGUGCUGAGAAGGCAGCUCAGCGCCUCACAGACUCACCUCCAUCCAGAGGCCCAGAGAGGGCAAGCUACUUGCAGAAGGACAACAGCCAGCAAGCCGCUGAAUGGAGGUCUCAAAAUCUGAGCCUUUUUGAAGCCUAGUGCUGCGUGUUCUCUCCAUUCUCCGAGCACCUCAGACUGGGGAGCUGGCAGCUCUCUGAUAGGGGCUCCACAGCUGCUGCUGCUUCUGCUUUUCUCCCAGUAACAUGUCUGAGGGAAGUAGAGACUCCUACUGGGCCACCAUUCCCUGCCCCUCUCUUUCCCUCUAAGUCACCCACCUUCAAAAAUACCUCCCAAAGUCAGCCAUUUCCCUCCAUUGGGUGCGUCACCCUUCUCCUCCCCCCACCCUCCUUCUGUUGACUGAGAUCUAAUUCAUAUACAUGUUAAUCAAGGUCCUCCAGAGAAACAGAACCUGUAGGAUACAGAUAUAUAGAUAAGAGGAGACAGUAUAGUAAGUGACUCACGUGUUUACAGAGGCCGAGAAGCCCCACAAUCUGCCGUCUGCAAGCUGGAGGCCCAGGAAAGCCUAGGGUGUGCUUCAGUCUGACUCUGAAGGCCUGAUCGAGGGUGCUGAUGGUGUAAACACCGAUGUGAGCGCAAAAGUCCAAGAACCAGGAGCGCCGACGUCCGAGGGCAGAAGAUUGCUGUCCCAGCUCAAGCAGAGACAGAAAACAUGCCCUUUCUCUGCCUUUCUGCUCGUUUUGGACCCUCAAGGAAUUGGAUGAGGCCCACCCACAUUGGGGAGGGCCAUCUGCCUCACUCAGUCUACUGAUUCAAAUGCUAACCUCUUCUGGAAACGCCUUCACAGACACACCCAGAAGCAAUGUUUUACCAGCUAUCUGGACAUCCUGUAGCCCAGUCAGUUUUUUUUUUUUUGAGGAAGAUUAGCCCUGAGCUAACAUCUGCUGCCAAUCCUCCUCUUUUUGCUGAGGAAGACUGGCCCUGAGCUAACAUCCGUGCCCAUUUUCCUCUACUUUCUAUGUGGGAUGCCUGUCACAGCAUGGCUUGCCAAGCCGUGCUAUGUCUGCACCUGGGAUCCAAACCAGUGAACCCCAGGCCGCUGAAGUGGAACGUGCGCAUGUAACCGCUGCGCCACCGGGCCAGCCCCUAUAUGGUCUUUCUGUGUCUGGCUUCUUUCACUGAGCACAAUGUUUUCAAGGUUCAUCCAUGUUGUAGCGUAUAUCAUUACUUCAUUGUUUUUUAUGGCUGAAUAAUAUUCCAUUGUAUGGUUAGACCACAUUUUGUUUAUCCAUUCCUCAGUGGAUGGACAUUCGGGUUGUUUCCAGUUUUAGGCCAUUAUGAGCAAUGCUGCUGUGAAUAUUCAUAUGGUUUUUGUGUAAAUACCAUUAUUUCCUGCCUGGACCAGACCACUAAGCCCCUCACUGGAGUCCAAGCUUUUGCCCUUGGCCCCCAGGCGUCCGUUCUUCUCACGGCAGCCAGAGGGGUCCUUUGAAAAUGGAAGUCAGCUCACGUCAUGCGUCUGUUCUAAACCUCCAGUGGCUCCCCUUUACCCUGAGGAUGAAGUUAAAGAGCCAGCACAAUCUCCACCCGGCCUCCAGCCCUGCGGUUGCCCACAGUUAUCUGCACUUCCGCCUCACUGGCUGUCUCUCAGUUCCUCAAACGAGCUACGCUCCUCCCUACCCCCAUGCCUUUGCAAGUGCUGGCCCUUUGCUUGGAAGGCUCUCCCCACUCCUUCCUCCAUUUUGUCUGCUAGCUCGUCUUCAUCCCCCCAGGUCUUGGGGGAAUCACUUUCUGUUGGAGAAGGGAAGCCUUCUUUAAUCUUCCCAGUAGGGAAGCUGUGGAAGAUGCUAGGUGCCCCGCUCAGAUCCCUUUUUCCAGCAGGGACAUCCAUUGUCUAUCCGCUAGGAGUGUCAGCUGCUCCCUUCAGCAGAAAAUUGCCCUCUCCCAAGGGGCCCUGCCUCACCUAGGAGGUUAUGACACCGGCUUCUAUCUCCCCUGCCCAGCAGCUUCAGUCCAUGACUGGCAUAGGGACACAAAAGGCUGGCCCUCUUGCCUCAAGGUGGGACGCAUCUAUGGUGCAAUUUAGACUCCAGAGCUCCUCGCCCUCUGCCCCUGCCAUGGUGGAUCGGGUCAGACUGGACUUUAUCUAGCCUCCCCUGCCCUGUCCUGCUUCCCUCGCUCCUUCAGUGAAUCUCGGCACCUGUGUCAGACUCAGCCUAAGAUAAUAUUUUACGUGAGAUUGAAAUAUCAUCCACGUCAAUAUCUAAUUUGUCCUCUCUCGACUUCUGCUGAUGGAAAUGAUGGGGAGGAAGGCUACGCGCUCCCCCAAGUCCCCUUUGGCACUGCGCAUGUGUCUGGGCACCCCGUUAGUGCCCCCAAGGCACAAUGCCCUUUGUGGCUCCGCAUACUUCACCUGUUUGUUGACUGUCUCUUUCCCACUUGAUCUUAAGUUCUCUAAGGUCAUGGACCACAUCUGUCUCUGCUAGCUUAUCUUUGUUAUCCACCUGGCACCUUGGGGAGUCUAAUAAAUAUUCGGUGAAGGAUGUUCCUUGCUACUGUAUUUACAACACCAAAAGACUGGAAACAACCUAAAUGUCCAAGAACGGGAAAUCAUAAAAAAAUAAUGAAAUGUCUCUACAAUGGAAUACUAUAGAUCCAUUUAAUAGGAACCACGUAGAAUUAUGUGGACUGAUAUAGAACAAUCCUAAGUGUAUAGUUAAGUGAAAAAAAAAUCCAUGUGCCAAACUAUGUAUAUAGUAUGCUGUUUUUUUCUGUUAAAAAAUGUAUGUACUUUCAAAGAACGAAGCUCAUGAAUACUGAUAAGAAUACAAAAAUAUCAGCACCCAACAAGCUAAAAUUCACAAUUCCCACAUCCAAUCAAGUAAUGUAUACGUACCUUUUGGCUUGCUUAUUCACAGAACAGGGGGGACCUGGAUGUGUAUAAGAUGGGGUGGGAAGGAAACUUUCUGCUCUAUACCCUUUGUCUUUCAAAUUUUGUGCCAUGUUCACACCUUAUCUAUUCAAGAAAUACAUAAAAUUUAAUAAAUUUUGGGGCUUGAAAAAUAAGCCCUAUUCAUGGCACGUAUAUGGGGACCACUGGUCAGCUGGGCCCCCUUACCCAGCGGGCUUCUUCCUUGCCUGAUGCCCUAGAUUCGUAUGGAGCCAGCAGCGCUGGGCCCUGCGUUCCCGACGCCUUACACUGAAGCCAGAGAAGUCAGAGAAACCUGGAGGCACCGCCCCCUCCUCAGCCAACCACCUGGGAGCCAGCAUGGGGCAGAAGGAAGAGUGUGAGAUUUGUCUGGCUAUCUGUAUUUCCGAAUCCUAAUAAAACUUGCAAACACUUUGACCUAGAAAUUCCAUCGCUAAGAAUUUACCCUAAAGGAACCAUCAAGGAUUAUGCAUAAAGGUUUAGCUAUAAGGAUAUUCACUGAAGGAUUAUGACGUCAAGGACUUAUGACAGUAGGGGAAAAAAAUGGAAACAGCCCUCAGUAAUGGACUGACUAAAUGAAUUAGGCUGCAUUCACACAAAACACUGUAUGCAUUCCUCAUGCAGUUUUAAAAAAGUUGUUUGAAGAAAGAAAGAGAAGAGCAAACGAAAGGGAUGUCUAGUGUCAGGUGGAGCUUGGUUCAAAUUCUUCCUGUACUCCUUAUGAGCGGUGUGACCAUCACCUACUUAAUUAACUUCUCUGGGCCACUUGUUUCCUGGUCUGUAAAAUGGUCAUACUAUAGGGGCCGGCCCCAUGGCUGAGUGGUUAAGUUUGUGUGCUCCGCUUCGGCGGGCUGGUGUUUCGUGGGUUUGGAUCCUGGGCGCAGACAUGGCACCGCUCAUCAGGCCAUGCUGAGGCGGCACCCCACAUCCACAACUAGAAGGACUCACAACUAAAAAUACACAACUAUGUACCAGGGGACUUUGGGGAGAAAAAGGAAAAAUAAAAUCUUAAAAAAAAAAUGGGUAUACUAUCAAAUAUGUUGUGUUAAUCAGGAUGGCUUACUGCUGUGACAAAUAACCACAAAAUCUCACUGGCUUAAUGCAACAAAGGUGUAUUUCUCUCUCAUGCCAUGUCUGAUGCAGAUGUUCCUGGGCAGGUGUCUUCCAACUGAUGGACUCGAGGAUUGGGUCCCUUUUCAUCACAAGCCUCCAUCCUCUUAAACUUCUUUGCUCCCUUCCAGAGGACAGGAGAGAGAGCAUAAUAGAUUGGACAGGAUGCUUUAUGGCCAGGCCUGGUAGAGGGGGUACGUCACUUCUGCUCAUGGCCUAUUGCUCACGUCCUAGCUGCAAGGGGUCUGGGAAAUGUAGUGCCAGCACCCAGGAAGAGGAAAUGGGUUCCAUGAGCCCCCGGCUUUGUCUCUGACACACACCUCACGGGGCUCCCCUGAAUGAAUGAAUGAAUGAAUGGAAUAAAUGAAGUAGCACAUGGUAGGUACUCAGAUGUCCCUGCUGCCUUUUCCUCCUUCCCUUCCGUCUAUGAUUGCCUCUAGAGGCGACUGCCCUAACUCUUCGAAAAUUGAUGUCCUCCUGAAAAGUUUUGUGUGAAUUGAGCCAAGAUGUUUAUGCGUCGUGGGGGAAGAGGGUGGGGCAGAUUGGAGGGCAGGGUGCCCACUGAAAGGAGCCCUGGAGAAGAGAUCGUCCCUCCCACCACUCCGCCCUCAUCUCACCCAGAUUCCCCUCCAAAGAGGUGUAAGUCUGACCAUGGUAUCCUCCCCUUAAAGCCUUCAGUGGCUCCCCAUUGCCUUAGGGACCAAGUCGAACCUCUCACUCCUGUGGGGUCUGACUCCAGCUCGUCUCCCCAGGCCCCUCUAUCACCAUCCCCUUGUGGCUUGCUGCAUGAUAUCCACACUUCUUCAGUUUCUAGAAUGUACCUUGCUUCUGUCUGCCUCCGGGUUUUCCACUCUACACCCCUCUCUGCUCGCCCAGCGCUUCCUGAGGAAAGUCCCUCUCUCUGACUCCUUAAUCUAGACUGGAUUCCACUGCUCUACCCUUGCUGAACUCUCUCUGCUUUUUCUCCACGGUGAUGAUCAAAUUUUGUAAUUUAAUAUCAGUCUCUCCUGCCAGACUGUAAGCUCAGAAGGGUGGAGGUGACUUCUAUUUUGUUUGCCAAUGUGUGUGUCCAGGGCUCUAUUUUCCUCGUCUGUAAGACGGAGACGAUAACUGCGAUGGACUGAAUGUUUGUGGUCCCCCUCUCCCCCCUAAUCCCUAGGUGAAGCUCUAACCCCCAUUGUAUGGUAUUUGGAGAUAGGACCUUUACAGAAGUAAUUAAGGUUAAAUGAGGCUGUAAAGGUGAGAAUCUGACCCGAUAGCAUUAGUGUCCUUAUGAGAAGAGAUCCCAGAGAGCUUGCUCGCUCUCUUCCAGAGCACAGAGAGGCCAUGUGAGCACACAGCGAGAAGGUGGUCGCCUAAAAGGUGAGAAAAGAGGUCUGAGAAUGAAAUCGACCUUGCUGGCACCUUGAUCCUGGACUUCUAGCCUCCAGGACCAUGAGAAAUAAAAUUUCUGUGGUUUAAGCCACUCAGCCUUUGGUAUUUUGUUAUGGCAGCUGGAACGGACUAAAAUGUAGCAGAACCCACCUCAAUAAUUGUUUUUUCAGGACUAACUGUUAAUACCUGUAAAGCACUGAAAAGUGGGCCUGGCGUGGAGUUAGCCCUGUUAACUGUUAAGAGUGUCACACACCAGAUGUAAGCAUUUGUGGAAUGAAUAAACAAGUCCAUUUUGCAAGUUUAAGUUCUUACAUAAUGGUUUGCUUAAAGUGAACUUACCCCCUUUACUAUCCCAGGACAUUCAGACACGGAUGAACUCCUUAAAAAGGGAAUUUAUAAAAAUAAAAAUAGGGAGUUGUUAACAGCCAGUUCGUGUCUCCAACUCUUUUUUUCCUAGAAUGUCCACCAGAGGGCUCCUUGAGCGCUUUCUUCCAAAACAUCCCUGUCCCCUGGAAGUGACCGCUGCGGGAAGGAAGAGAAAAUUGCAUGGAAAAACGUGGUUUAUUCCAUGGACGUAAACAAAGGCAAUACAAUCAUAGGCAUAGCUGGGUGGGGAAAAAACUCAGGCCAGAGUGAGAAGAAGCAAGUUGGAAUCUUAACUUCACUGACCCUGGACUGGGGUCUUGGUGACAUCUCUGAACCUUGGUUUCCUCAUCUAGAAAAUGGAGAUAAUCCUGUCAAGCAUAAAGAGUUUUGGGAGGACCGAAUAAAAGUAUUUUGUAAAACGUUAGCUGUUGUCAUCCAAGGACCGAGUUGCAUGGACCUGCUUUACACGCAGGAUCUAACCAUGAGGCUAGGCAGCGACUCCCCACCCCCAGACUUACCCGAUUCAGCCCACCAACGUCUGUUGUUCAGCACCCAGAAUCUGCAUGCAUUUAGAGUGGACAUCAAUUAUUUUUGCCAUAGUCUCUGCCAUUACCUAUUCUAUAUGCUCGUCUCUCUUUGCUUGCUUUAUUUCGCCUGCCUGGCCCCUAAAGUUUGCAACUUCUGGUCUAAAUAGAGAGUUCUGUGCCAGUCAGAUGAGAUCUGGGAUGCUGCAUUAAUAAUCCCAAUCAGUGCUAUUUAUGAAGCCAGGCAUGAACUGUAUGCCUAAUGUAUGCAAGCCAAAUAUAACCAGCACUUCUGGUUGCCUAGUCUCCGUGCAGUGACUUAUCUGGUGGAAAAAUGCAAUUGGAAGUAAUUAAAAUCUCUUCCCAAUCUCUCAAAAAAUGCAAA
rnacentral:lncRNA from 1 species